AACGAACGCUGGCGGCAUGCCUAACACAUGCAAGUCGAACGAACCCUUCGGGGUUAGUGGCGCACGGGUGCGUAACGCGUGGGAAUCUGCCCUUUGCUUCGGAAUAACAGUUAGAAAUGACUGCUAAUACCGGAUGAUGUCUUCGGACCAAAGAUUUAUCGGCAAGGGAUGAGCCCGCGUAGGAUUAGGUAGUUGGUGGGGUAAAGGCCUACCAAGCCGACGAUCCUUAGCUGGUCUGAGAGGAUGAUCAGCCACACUGGGACUGAGACACGGCCCAGACUCCUACGGGAGGCAGCAGUGGGGAAUAUUGGACAAUGGGCGAAAGCCUGAUCCAGCAAUGCCGCGUGAGUGAUGAAGGCCUUAGGGUUGUAAAGCUCUUUUACCCGGGAUGAUAAUGACAGUACCGGGAGAAUAAGCUCCGGCUAACUCCGUGCCAGCCGCCGCGGUAACAC
rnacentral:rRNA from 1 species